GAUGAACGCUGUCGGCGUGCCUAAUACACGCACGUCGAGCGAACGGACUAGAAGCCUGCUCCUCUGUUGUCAGCGGCGGACGGGUGAGUAACACGUCGAUAACCCACCUAUAAGACUGGGAUAACUUCGGGAAACCGGAGCUAACACCGGAUGAUAUUUCGAACCGCAUGGUUCAAAAGUGAAAGACGCUCUUGCUGUCACUUAUAGUUGGACCCGCGCUGCAUUAGCUAGUUGGUAAGGUAACGGCUUACCAAGGCAACGAUGCAUAGCCGACCUGAGAGGGUGAUCGGCCACACUGGAACUGAGACACGGUCCAGACUCCUACGGGAGGCAGCAGUAGGGAAUCUUCCGCAAUGGGCGAAAGCCUGACGGAGCAACGCCGCGUGAGUGAUGAAGGUCUUCGGAUCGUAAAACUCUGUUAUUAGGGAAGAACAUAUGUGUAAGUAACUGUGCACAUCUUGACGGUACCUAAUCAGAAAGCCACGGCUAACUACGUG
rnacentral:rRNA from 1 species